AUUGAACGCUGGCGGCAGGCCUAACACAUGCAAGUCGAACGGUAACAGGAAGAAGCUUGCUUCUUUGCUGACGAGUGGCGGACGGGUGAGUAAUGUCUGGGAAACUGCCUGAUGGAGGGGGAUAACUACUGGAAACGGUAGCUAAUACCGCAUAACGUCGCAAGACCAAAGAGGGGGACCUUCGGGCCUCUUGCCAUCGGAUGUGCCCUGAUGGGAUUAGCUAGUAGGUGGGGUAACGGCUCACCUAGGCGACGAUCCCUAGCUGGUCUGAGAGGAUGACCAGCCACACUGGAACGGAGACACGGUCCAGACUCCUACGGGAGGCAGCAGUGGGGAAUAUUGCACAAUGGGCGCAAGCCUGAUGCAGCCAUGCCGCGUGUAUGAAGAAGGCCUUCGGGUUGUAAAGUACUUUCAGCGGGGAGGAAGGGAGUAAAGUUAAUACCUUUGCUCAUUGACGUGACCCGCAGAAGAAGCACCGGCUAACUCCGUG
rnacentral:rRNA from 1 species